GACGAACGCUGGCGGCGUGCUUAACACAUGCAAGUCGAACGGAAAGGCCCUGCUUUUGUGGGGUGCUCGAGUGGCGAACGGGUGAGUAACACGUGAGUAACCUGCCCUUGACUUUGGGAUAACUUCAGGAAACUGGGGCUAAUACCGGAUAGGAGCUCCUGCUGCAUGGUGGGGGUUGGAAAGUUUCGGCGGUUGGGGAUAGACUCGCGGCUUAUCAGCUUGCUGGUGGGGUAGUGGCUUACCAAGGCUUUGACGGGUAGCCGGCCUGAGAGGGUGACCGGCCACAUUGGGACUGAGAUACGGCCCAGACUCCUACGGGAGGCAGCAGUGGGGAAUAUUGCACAAUGGGCGGAAGCCUGAUGCAGCAACGCCGCGUGCGGGAUGACGGCCUUCGGGUUGUAAACCGCUUUCGCCUGUGACGAAGCGUGAGUGACGGUAAUGGGUAAAGAAGCACCGGCUAACUACGUG
rnacentral:rRNA from 1 species